rnacentral:rRNA from 1 species
GACGAACGCUGGCGGCGUGCUUAACACAUGCAAGUCGAACGGAAAGGCCCUGCUUUUGUGGGGUGCUCGAGUGGCGAACGGGUGAGUAACACGUGAGUAACCUGCCCUUGACUUUGGGAUAACUUCAGAAAACUGGGGCUAAUACCGGAUAGGAGCUCCUGCUGCAUGGUGGGGGUUGGAAAGUUUCGGCGGUUGGGGAUGGACUCGCGGCUUAUCAGCUUGUUGGUGGGGUAGUGGCUUACCAAGGCUUUGACGGGUAGCCGGCCUGAGAGGGUGACCGGCCACAUUGGGAUGGGGAUACGGCCCAGCCUCCUCCGGGAGGCAGCAGUGGGGAAGAUUGCACAAUGGGCGGAAGCCUGACGCAGUCAAGCCGCGUGCGGGAUGACGGCAUUCGGGUUGUAAUCCGCUUUCGCCUGUGACGAAGCGUGAGUGACGGUAAUGGGUAAAGAAGCACCGGCUAACUACGUG